GCCCAGGUGGCGGAAUUGGUAGACGCGCACGUUUCAGGUGCGUGUGCCGAAAGGUGUGCAGGUUCGAGUCCUGUUCUGGGCACCG
rnacentral:tRNA from 1 species